UACGUAGGGUGCAAGCGUUAAUCGGAAUUACUGGGCGUAAAGCGUGCGCAGGCGGCGCGUUAAGACAGGUGUGAAAGCCCCGAGCUUAACUUGGGAAUUGCGCUUGUGACUGGCGUGCUGGAGUGUGGCAGAGGGAGGUGGAAAUUCCACGUGUAGCAGUGAAAAUGCGUAGAGAUGUGGAGGAACACCGAUGGCGAAGGCAGCCUCCUGGGCCAGCACUGACGCUCAUGCACGAAAAGCGUGGGGGAGCAAACAGG
rnacentral:rRNA from 1 species